rnacentral:lncRNA from 11 species
CAAGUUUGCCCAUGCCUGCUUUAAAGCCUCCAGAAAAGGAGGCUCCACCGUCAACUCAGCCCAAAGUAGUUUUCCCCUUCUCUCCCUGGAAUCAGAAAUAAGUGCCUUCCUUCACAGCUCCCAAGGCUCGCCUUAAAUGCUUGGCCUUCCUGGGCGAAGAACACGGAGCCUUCAGGAGGCGAAGGGCAGCCGGCUGCAUGGUUGUAACAGGAUUACAACGGAGCACGAACCUCAAGAUGAGGCACUAGUGAUGCAAAGGCAUCCAAGUUGAUAACAUUCAUCAGACUUAAUCAGGAAACUCAAUCACAAGGCAUUGAAAAAUGUGUUUUAAUCAAUGGGCAAGAUCAUCAGGAGAGUUUCUUUGGAAGAACUAAUGGGGAGGAGGAGCUGUAGAAAAUGACCAUGAUAUACCAGUAACAUUGUACUUGGAUCUUUGUUGCAUUUGAGACUCUGUGUUGGUUUUCACUGUUCCAGCCCUAUCUUAUCCCUAGUAAUCGCUCAGCCAAUCAGUGACAUCAUAGUUAAAUAGAAACUGAAGUCAUGAUCUUGCAGCUGUUCCAUUUGUGGAGUUCCUAUUGCUUUUUGUAGAAGGAUGAUUUGUCAAAUCCUGUUGGCUUCAGUAGGAAGAGUGUUCAUUGUACAGUCACCCUUGAUACGUGAUAAUUUAGCUGCUACUCUUUCAGGGAACGUCCCACACUUCCAUAUGCCAAACCUUUCCUGUUUGUAACAGUGUGGGACAAGUUGAGGAAUGCAUGUUAUUAUUCAUCUUGGCUCUUGCAAUUCCUUCCAUAAAUGAGUACAAGAGAGAAACAAGAGUCAUUAAUUUUAGCAGGCUUGUAUAACUGACAAGAUUUAAGUCAGUAAUAUAAAUGUAUUAAUUGUGGGGUUAAAAACUUUCUGAAGACCUUUGACAGAAGUCUGGGCAGGCAUGAUUUUGCACACUAAUGCUGAAUUUUAUUAAUUAAUUUUAUUUAUUAGCAGCAUUUUAUAUUGUCCAUUAACAACAAGUUAUCUAGGGCUCUAGAGAGAAAAUGUUAAACCAUAAAAUAUACAAAAUAUAAAAUUCAAGAUGUAAUAUCAUGUUAAGAUAGCAUCAGCAUAAAAAUUUCCAAGGUCUGAAAAGCACUAGAACUGUUUUGGAAAAUAAAAGAGCUUUCACUUACAAUUGAAGGAUCUGUGAUCUGUGUGGUGAUGGUGUUUCACAACCAUGAUACUACCUCUGAGGAGCUCCACUUAAGCCCAUGGGAGUUGUUCAGAAAACUCAAUGUGGGCUAGAAGUGUGUGUAUGCAAAAGAUUAUAACACAUACUGAAGCCUAGUGCCCAAGAAUGGUGCUAUGAUGCUCACUGGGUUUUCCCCACCCAAAUAUUCUAUGUGAAGCCAGGAGGAUUCUAUUUCCAUUUGGGUACUCUGUUUUAUCACAGUUGCCAAUGAUGUGGCAGCUUCAGUCUGAGCAGAAACAUCUGUUGCAACCUCUGUUUUUAUACAGGGACAUUGGGAUGACAUCUGUGAGGAACUAGGAAUGAUGCUGGGAUGUCCAACCUUUGACCCACAAAUCUCUUAUUCCAGGCAACGCCAUGGCUGGGUGGAAUCUGGGAGCACUAUUAGGACAAUCCAAGGAUCUGGGAUGGGAG